GCGGCGUCUUGAGUUUUUAUGUGUGAUUCUGCACAAAACAUGUUUUCUUUUUUUCUUCGCGAUGCUUCUUCGUGUGCGAUGGCGAUCGAGAUUCCUUUCGUCUCUUUAACUGAAAUCGGAUCUGAGAAUCGUUCCAUUUCAUUACUGUCAUUAAUUUUGUUUUCAGUCGGCUAAUCCGUGUAUAAAUAGGUAAUAUGCGCUUGACAUCUGUCCCUCGCCGAGAUUGAUUUUUUGGUCUUGGUUCUUUAUGAGAGAGAGACGAUUAUCUUCGCCGAAGGCCAUAUCGAAAUUUAGGGUUAAUUGUCUUCCUCGAUCUCUGGCCAUAUAAAGUAACAAUGGGGUUUCAGGAGAGACAAAACGUCGUGAAUCCCUGUGUCAAGCUUUGAUCGUCUCAGCUUCUAUGGAAACCGGGACGGUUACGGAACUUGGUUGUUUCGAUCAUUCUAAUUAACUUGCCAAUUAACUCCACUCUGUAACUAUUUAUAGGUGAGUUUGUAUCCAUUAAAUUCAUCUUUCUCUUCUCUUUAGAUUUUGAAUCCCCAGAGCCUUUUGAAUUCUCCGGUGGAUGGCGGUGUAGGAGUGAGAGCUGGUUGCAUGCGGAUCAGGUGUUUGUCUCAACGGAGAGCCAUGUCUUGGUUGUUUACCUCAUAGUGAAGAAGAAAGCUAUGGCGAAAGCCAUGUGAGAGACUGAUUCGGUGAGGGUCAUAAAAUUCUUGGAGGAUGAUCGGCAUGGAGUCGGCCAAUCUACAGAGAUAUCGUAAAAGACCAUCAAUUCCGGUAACUUCGUUACCAUUUGAGUAUAGCUUAUUGAGUUUGACGUGAAUGUUGAUUGAUGAAUCAGAAUGCUAAUUGUGAGUUGAAUUUAGUCUCAUUGCAGGAUCGAUCAUUGUAUAAAAAUUCCAUCUAUUUAUUUGUCUCUCACUUUUGUGUUUAUAACUGCAAAAGGCGGAGAUUUUGUUCAUCGCUAGAUAUGAAGGAUCUUUUAUUAUAUACAUUACAUGUUUAAGGAAAGGGAAGAAAAUUCUGGAGGAGAAAGGGAUCAGUUUGAAGCAUAACGUCAACCUGAGUUUGAGCUUUUUCAGAUUAGCCUAGAACAAGAGGCACAUGUGUUCAGGAUCAUUGGAGAAACAACAAGGAGUAUGACCUUAUGAGCUGGAGAGAAGGCUACACAAGCUCAUGGAGACAAGACAAAAGUAUGAGAUAAAAAGCUGCAGAUUGCAUUGGAAGAGGCUAAGACAACGCUUCAUGUGAACAGAGGCUGAAGCUUCUUGGUGGAAAGUCACCGCAUAUAUAGUCUCUGAACAUAUCGUCUUCUAUAGUGGAAUUGUUAUUGUUAAACAUUUUACAGAAGGUUUCAGAGAUGAUUUAGAAGAAACUAGGUUCAGACAUGUGUAUUCAGGGCCAUUGGAGGAACAACAAGGAAUGUGUCCUCAUGAGCUAGAGAGAAAGAAAUACGAGCUGAGCUCAUGGAGACAAGAAAUAUACUAUUUGGAAAAUAUUAUGUAUGCUUAGAUCAUAUUUAAAAAAACUACAUAUAAAUGAAAGUAUUUUUAAUAUUAAGCUAAACAUAUGCCCUGUAAUAAGAAUAACAAACAUUAGCAGUGAAGUGAAUGUUAUUUUCAAUAUAGAGUAAAACUAAAUA